rnacentral:rRNA from 1 species
CGGCCCAGACUCCUACGGGAGGCAGCAGUGGGGAAUAUUGCACAAUGGGCGGAAGCCUGAUGCAGCAACGCCGCGUGCGGGAUGACGGCCUUCGGGUUGUAAACCGCUUUCGCCUGUGACGAAGCGUGAGUGACGGUAAUGGGUAAAGAAGCACCGGCUAACUACGUGCCAGCAGCCGCGGUGAUACGUAGGGUGCGAGCGUUGUCCGGAUUUAUUGGGCGUAAAGGGCUCGUAGGUGGUUGAUCGCGUCGGAAGUGUAAUCUUGGGGCUUAACCCUGAGCGUGCUUUCGAUACGGGUUGACUUGAGGAAGGUAGGGGAGAAUGGAAUUCCUGGUGGAGCGGUGGAAUGCGCAGAUAUCAGGAGGAACACCAGUGGCGAAGGCGGUUCUCUGGGCCUUUCCUGACGCUGAGGAGCGAAAGCGUGGGGAGCGAACAGGCUUAGAUACCCUGGUAGUCCACGCUGUAAACGGUGGGUACUAGGUGUGGGGUCCAUUCCACGGGUUCCGUGCCGUAGCUAACGCUUUAAGUACCCCGCCUGGGGAGUACGGCCGCAAGGCUAAAACUCAAAGGAAUUGACGGGGCCCCGCACAAGCGGCGGAGCAUGCGGAUUAAUUCGAUGCAACGCGUAGAACCUUACCUGGGUUUGACAUGGAUCGGGAGUGCUCAGAGAUGGGUGUGCCUCUUUUGGGGUCGGUUCACAGGUGGUGCAUGGCUGUCGUCAGCUCGUGUCGUGAGAUGUUGGGUUAAGUCCCGCAACGAGCGCAACCCUUGUUCACUGUUGCCAGCACGUUAUGGUGGGGACUCAGUGGAGACCGCCGGGGUCAACUCGGAGGAAGGUGGGGAUGACGUCAAGUCAUCAUGCCCCUUAUGUCCAGGGCUUCACGCAUGCUACAAUGGCUGGUACAGAGAGUGGCGAGCCUGUGAGGGUGAGCGAAUCUCGGAAAGCCGGUCUCAGUUCGGAUUGGGGUCUGCAACUCGACCUCAUGAAGUCGGAGUCGCUAGUAAUCGCAGAUCAGCAACGCUGCGGUGAAUACGUUCCCGGGGCUUGUACACACCGCCCGUCAAGUCAUGAAAGUUGGUAACACCCGAAGCCGGUGGCCUAACCGUUGUGGGGGAGCCGUCGAAGGUGGGACUGGUGAGAUCGGAAGAGCACACGUCUGAACUC